rnacentral:rRNA from 1 species
UGAACGCUGGCGGCGUGCCUAAUACAUGCAAAUCGAGCGAACAGAUGCGGAGCUUGCUCCUCUGACGUUAGCGGCGGGCGGGUGAGUAACACGUGGAUAACCUACCUAUAAGACUGGGAUAACUUCGGGAAACCGGAGCUAAUACCGGAUAAUAUAUUGAACCGCAUGGUUCAAUAGUGAAAGACGGUUUUGCUGUCACUUAUAGAUGGAUCCGCGCCGCAUUAGCUAGUUGGUAAGGUAACGGCUUACCAAGGCAACGAUGCGUAGCCGACCUGAGAGGGUGAUCGGCCACACUGGAACUGAGACACGGUCCAGACUCCUACGGGAGGCAGCAGUAGGGAAUCUUCCGCAAUGGGCGAAAGCCUGACGGAGCAACGCCGCGUGAGUGAUGAAGGUCUUCGGAUCGUAAAACUCUGUUAUUGGGGAAGAACAAAUGUGUAAGUAACUAUGCACGUCUUGACGGUACCUAAUCAGAAAGCCACGGCUAACUACGUG